GAGGGUUUUGUGGCCCCUUGGAGCCGCCCGGCGGGUGGGAGGCUUCAAGCCGCCCCGAGCUGCAUUAGCUGAAGACUGUUGUGGUGAGCGUCGGGGAAAAGGCGCGCUGUGAGCGCGUCAGGC
rfam:Frankia symbiont of Datisca glomerata, complete genome.